AGUGAACGCUGGCGGUAGGCCUAACACAUGCAAGUCGAACGGCAGCACAGUAAGAGCUUGCUCUUACGGGUGGCGAGUGGCGGACGGGUGAGGAAUACAUCGGAAUCUACUUUUUCGUGGGGGAUAACGUAGGGAAACUUACGCUAAUACCGCAUACGACCUACGGGUUAAAGCAGGGGAUCUUCGGACCUUGCGCGAUUGAAUGAUCCGAUGUCGGAUUAGCUAGUUGGCGGGGUAAAGGCCCACCAAGGCGACGAUCCGUAGCUGGUAUGAGAGGAUGAUCAGCCACACUGGAACUGAGACACGGUCCAGAAUCCUACGGGAGGCAGCAGUGGGGAAUAUUGGACAAUGGGCGCAAGCCUGAUCCAGCCAUACCGCGUGGGUGAAGAAGGACUUCGGGUUUUAAAGCCCUUUUGUUGGGAAAGAAAAGCAGCAGGUUAAUACCCCGCUGUUCUGACGGUACCCAAAGAAUAAGCACCGGCUAACUUCGUG
rnacentral:rRNA from 1 species